GGACGUUUUGGUUUGGCUCCAGAAGUUAGAGGGAUGGAAAGGUCAGUAUUUUUUGAAGUGGGAUUCAUUAGUUAUGGAGUGCUCCAUAAUUAGCAUCCAUCCUCACUUAUUUAUAAUUAGUCAUUAGAUUACAGUUUAAUGGUCCUCCAUAGGUAGAAUCCUGCUUCCAGUAAAUAGGUCUCUUAGUUGUACCUGGAUGUUGAAGAUAACUUAUUUGUUUGAGAGGGACCACAACUAAAGUUGCAGUUUCCAGUGCAAAUAAUCUUUGGCGUCCGGACAGCUUUGCAGGUUUGAUGUUCUGAGAAAGGUUCAAAGCUCGGCAUGUUGUUUUCAAACCUAACCCUGCUUCAACUUUACCUGCAACCUUCCCUCUGACUAGUCAUCUCGCACCAACACUUUGCCCACUGGAACUUGUUCUGUCCACUUUACUUCUAUGAAAACAGUUGGGAGUUUUGCUUAAAAAGCAGAAAUAAAAACACGUGAUGUACUUUUAAAGAUUUCCACAUGCUGAGUUUGGACAAGAAUUGCUUAAUUGCUUAAAUUUGCUCAUUCAGGACAAUGAAAUUCCUGUGAAAUUCCAAAGAAACUGUCUAUUUCAGGCAAUUCUUGUCACAUCAAAUACACAAAGGAGGCCUUGCCGUCACAGCGUAAACUGUCCCAUUAUUUUCAAACAGAUCCUGAAUUCCAUUUCAUGAUUACUGCAUUGAUAUAAACUAAAAGUCUUAUUUGAUUUGACUCACUGACACUCAUCUGGCUUCAACAGUCCUUUAUUCAAGAUUCAGUAAAGCACUAAGCCAAUGUUGUGUGCAUAUACUAUUAUAAUACGGUCAAAUUUCAGUCAGUAACAGCUGAACAUACUCUAAAAGGGGACACAAUCUUAACCACAAUGCAUUACUCUGAAAAGUAUUCUAGGAUAUACUGAAGGCUGGAGCUGAAAAAGGAGACUGUUGGUGCUUUUAGUAAUUAAUGCAGAUAAAAACAGUGUUUUCAGGUUUAUGGCGCAAGUGCUAAACAAACUGCAGCACUUUUAAUAUGAGGUUUUUUCUUCUUCACUACAUGCAAAUUGAAUUGAGAACAUUUUCAUCUCAUUUUAAUCCAAAAACUCACCAUUUGUUAACUCAUCAUUUAUACACAAUAAAUUAUCAAUUUCAUAUAAAGAAGAUAAUAUUUGAAGGGCCACCAGAGUGUUUGUGUGCUUAUUGUCAAAAGCAAAGAGAAACUUUAUUAGAGAAAUGUGACAGGGCAAUAAAAAAAA